CGCACAGCUCACUAACACGUGGCUAACCUGCCCUUGGGACGGGACCAACCCCGGGAAACUGGGGCUAAUCCCCGAUAGGUGAAGAACUCUGGAAUGAGUCUUUGCCCAAAAGGCGUCAGAUCAUGCUUCUGGCGUUGCCCAAGGAUGGGGCCGCGACCGAUCAGGUUGUUGGUGAGGUAAUGGCCCACCAAGCCUAUAACCGGUGCGGGCCGUGAGAGCGGGAGCCCGGAGAUGGGCACUGAGACAAGGGCCCAGGUCCUACGGGGCGCAGCAGUCGCGAAACCUUUGCAAUACACGAAAGUGUGACAGGGUCAUCCCGAGUGCCGACCGCUGAGGUUGGCUUUUACCCAGUCUAGAACGCUGGGGGAAUAAGGAGAGGGCAAGUCUGGUGUCAGCCGCCGCGGUAAUACCAGCUCUCCGAGUGGUGUGGACGUUUAUUGGGCCUAAAGCAUCCGUAGCUGGCUAAACAAGUCCCCUGUUAAACCCACCGAUUUAAUCGUUGGUCUGCGGGGGAUACUGUUCGGCUAGGGGACGAGAGAGGCAGACGGUAUUCCCGGGGUAGGGGUGAAAUCCUAUAAUCCCGAGAAGACCACCAGUGGCGAAAGCUGUCCGCUAGAACGCGCCCGACGGUGAGGGAUGAAAGCUGGGGGGAGCGAAAC
rnacentral:rRNA from 1 species